rnacentral:tRNA from 1 species
UUUAUGUAGUUUAAUUUAAAACUUUACAUUUUCACUGUAAAAAUAUUAUUAAAUAAUAAUCAUAAAA